UUUCGACAAUGGCAAACCUUUCGAAAGAAAGGGACGCAAAACUUCAGGUCUAAUGUUUAUACCAAUUUUUAUACUUAAGAAUUGGAUUCCAGGAAUUUUAUAGGGUUAUCUUCCAGGCAGUAAUUCUAUUAUUAAAAGCAAUUUCAUGCUUUUAAUUCAUGAUUUUCAGCAAUGGUUAAUUCAUCUUUAUCAUACCCCAAAUGGAAGUACUCUUUUUUAAUCCUUGAAAAUUUCCUGGCAUGACUAUGACGGCUGAGUAACCGAA
rnacentral:ncRNA from 1 species